AUUGAACGCUGGCGACAGGCCUAACACAUGCAAGUCGAGCGGAGCGGCGGACGGGUGCGGAAUGCCUAGGAAUCUGCCUGGUAGUGGGGGAGAACGUCAGCAAACGGGAGCUAAUACCGCAUACUAGCAGAUGAGCCUAGGUCGGAUGAGGUAGUUGGUGGGGUAAAGGCCUACCAAGGCGACGAUCCGUAACUGGUCUGAGAUGAUGAUCAGUCACACUGGAACUGAGACACGGUCCAGACUCCUACGGGAGGCAGCAGUGGGGAAUAUUGGACAAUGGGCGAAAGCCUGAUCCAGCCAUGCCGCGUGUGUGAAGAAGGUCUUCGGAUUGUAAAGCACUUUAAGUUGGGAGGCGUUACCAACAGAAGAAGCACCGGCUAACUUCGUGCCAGCAGCCGCGGUAAUUC
rnacentral:rRNA from 1 species